GCGAUUCUCCUGCCUCAGCCUCCCAAGUAGCUGGGACUACAGAAAAGUGAAGACAACUGGAAAAGCAUUGCAGUGACCUAAGGCAAAACAAACAAUCUAAUAUAUAUGUCAUUGGAGUCCCAGAUAAACAAUGGAAAACUGGGAAAGAAAAUAAAAUGUGAAGAAAUUAGGGUUGAUAAUCAGCAAAUUUGGAGAAAUACAACUUACAGAUGCAAGAAGGUCAGCAAACCUCCAAAGAGAAUAAAUGCAAAGAAAUUUACAGAGCAAAUUCUUGGAAGCAGUCCUUGUUACAAUGUGACAAAUUUCCAAUUCAAAUAAUUUUUUUUUUCUAAAGCAUACUACCUUUAAG
rnacentral:lncRNA from 1 species